UACGGGGGGGGCAAGCGUUGUUCGGAAUUACUGGGCGUAAAGGGCUCGCAGGCGGCCAACUAAGUCGGACGUGAAAUCCCCAGGCUCAACCUGAGAACUGCGUCCGAUACUGGAUGGCUUGAAUUCGGGAGAGGGAUGCAGAAUUCCAGGUGUAGCGGUGAAAUGCGUAGAUAUCUGGAGGAACACCUGCGGCGAAGGCGGGUUGCUGGGCCGACACUGACGCUGAGGCGCGAAAGCUAGGGGAGCGAACGGG
rnacentral:rRNA from 1 species